UACAGGAGGGGCAAGCGUUAUUCGGAAUUAUUGGGCGUAAAGGGCGCGUAGGCGGCCUGGCAAGUGGAAGGUGAAAUCCCUCGGCUUAACCGAGGAACUGCCUCCCAAACUGCUUGGCUUGAGACCGGGAGAGGUGAGUGGAAUUCCCAGUGUAGCGGUGAAAUGCGUAGAUAUUGGGAGGAACACCAGUGGCGAAGGCGGCUCACUGGACCGGUACUGACGCUGAUGCGCGAAAGCGUGGGGAGCAAACAGG
rnacentral:rRNA from 1 species